rnacentral:rRNA from 1 species
UGAGCAACCUGCCCUUGACUCCGGAAUAACAGCUGGAAACAGCUGCUAAUACCGGAUAUGACCUCCGAUGGCAUCAUCUGGAGGUGGAAAGCUCCGGCGGUCAAGGAUGGGCUCGCGGCCUAUCAGCUUGUUGGUGAGGUAACGGCUCACCAAGGCUUCGACGGGUAGCCGGCCUGAGAGGGCGACCGGCCACACUGGGACUGAGAUACGGCCCAGACCUNUACGGGA